GGGUUGUGAGGUUAAGCGACUAAGCGUACACGGUGGAUGCCUAGGCAAUCAGAGGCGAUGAAGGACGUGCUAAUCUGCGAUAAGCGUCGGUAAGGUGAUAUGAACCGUUACAACCGACGAUUUCCGAAUGGGGAAACCCAGUGCAAUUCGUUGCACUAUCGUUUGAUGAAUACAUAGUCAAACGAAGCGAACCGGGGGAACUGAAACAUCUCAGUACCCCGAGGAAAAGAAAUCAACCGAGAUUCCCCUAGUAGCGGCGAGCGAACGGGGAGCAGCCCAGAGUCUUAAUCAGCAUUAGCAUCAGGAGAACGGUCUGGAAAGUCCGGCAGUAAAGGGUGAUAGCCCCGUAUCCGAAGAUGUUAGUGUUGUGAACUCGACGAGUAGGGCGGGACACGUGUUAUCCUGUCUGAAUAUGGGGGGACCAUCCUCCAAGGCUAAAUACUCCUGAUUGACCGAUAGUGAACCAGUACCGUGAGGGAAAGGCGAAAAGAACCCCGGCGAGGGGAGUGAAAUAGAACCUGAAACCGUGUACGUACAAGCAGUGGGAGCCUUGAUUUAUCAGGGUGACUGCGUACCUUUUGUAUAAUGGGUCAGCGACUUAUAUUCUGUAGCAAGGUUAACCGUAUAGGGGAGCCGUAGGGAAACCGAGUCUUAACUGGGCGAAUAAGUUGCAGGGUAUAGACCCGAAACCCGGUGAUCUAGCCAUGGGCAGGUUGAAGGUUGGGUAACACUAACUGGAGGACCGAACCGACUAAUGUUGAAAAAUUAGCGGAUGACUUGUGGCUGGGGGUGAAAGGCCAAUCAAACCGGGAGAUAGCUGGUUCUCCCCGAAAGCUAUUUAGGUAGCGCCUCGUGAACUCAUCUUCGGGGGUAGAGCACUGUUUCGACUAGGGGGUCAUCCCGACUUACCAACUCGAUGCAAACUACGAAUACCGAAGAAUGUUAUCACGGGAGACACACGGCGGGUGCUAACGUUCGUCGUGAAGAGGGAAACAACCCAGACCGCCAGCUAAGGUCCCAAAGUCAUAGUUAAGUGGGAAACGAAGUGGGAAGGCUCAGACAGCCAGGAUGUUGGCUUAGAAGCAGCCAUCAUUUAAAGAAAGCGUAAUAGCUCACUGGUCGAGUCGGCCUGCGCGGAAGAUGUAACGGGGCUAAACUAUGCACCGAAGCUGCGGCAGCGAUAUGUAAAUAUUGUUGGGUAGGGGAGCGUUCUGUAAGCCUGUGAAGGUGUGCUGUGAGGCAUGCUGGAGGUAUCAGAAGUGCGAAUGCUGACAUAAGUAACGAUAAUGCGGGUGAAAAACCCGCACGCCGGAAGACCAAGGGUUCCUGUCCAACGUUAAUCGGGGCAGGGUGAGUCGACCCCUAAGGCGAGGCAGAAAUGCGUAGUCGAUGGGAAACGGGUUAAUAUUCCCGUACUGGUGAUAAUUGCGAUGGGGGGACGGAGAAGGCUAGGCUAUCCGGGCGACGGUUGUCCCGGUUUAAGGAUGUAGGCAGGUGAAUUAGGCAAAUCCGGUUCACUAUAUGCUGAGGUCCGAUGACGAGUCACUACGGUGAUGAAGUAGCUCAUGCCCCGCUUCCAGGAAAAGCCUCUAAGCUCUAGAUUAUCAUUAAUCGUACCCCAAACCGACACAGGUGGUCAGGUAGAGAAUACUCAGGCGCUUGAGAGAACUCGGGUGAAGGAACUAGGCAAAAUGGUGCCGUAACUUCGGGAGAAGGCACGCUGGCAUUAGGUGAAGUGGUUUACCCAUGGAGCUGAAGCCAGUCGCAGAUACCAGCUGGCUGCAACUGUUUAUUAAAAACACAGCACUGUGCAAACACGAAAGUGGACGUAUACGGUGUGACGCCUGCCCGGUGCUGGAAGGUUAAUUGAUGGGGUUAUCCGUAAGGAGAAGCUCUUGAUCGAAGCCCCAGUAAACGGCGGCCGUAACUAUAACGGUCCUAAGGUAGCGAAAUUCCUUGUCGGGUAAGUUCCGACCUGCACGAAUGGCGUAAUGAUGGCCAGGCUGUCUCCACCCGAGACUCAGUGAAAUUGAACUCGCUGUGAAGAUGCAGUGUACCCGCGGCAAGACGGAAAGACCCCGUGAACCUUUACUAUAGCUUGACACUGAACAUUGAGCCUUGAUGUGUAGGAUAGGUGGGAGGCUUUGAAGCGUGGACGCCAGUCUGCGUGGAGCCAACCUUGAAAUACCACCCUUUAAUGUUUGAUGUUCUAACGUUGCCCCGUUAUCCGGGGUGCGGACAGUGUCUGGUGGGUAGUUUGACUGGGGCGGUCUCCUCCCAAAGAGUAACGGAGGAGCACGAAGGUUGGCUAAGCAUGGUCGGACAUCAUGCGGUUAGUGCAAAGGCAUAAGCCAGCUUGACUGCGAGAGUGACGGCUCGAGCAGGUACGAAAGUAGGUCUUAGUGAUCCGGUGGUUCUGAAUGGAAGGGCCAUCGCUCAACGGAUAAAAGGUACUCCGGGGAUAACAGGCUGAUACCGCCCAAGAGUUCAUAUCGACGGCGGUGUUUGGCACCUCGAUGUCGGCUCAUCACAUCCUGGGGCUGAAGUAGGUCCCAAGGGUACGGCUGUUCGCCGUUUAAAGUGGUACGCGAGCUGGGUUUAGAACGUCGUGAGACAGUUCGGUCCCUAUCUGCCGUGGGCGUUGGAAGAUUGAAAGGGGCUGCUCCUAGUACGAGAGGACCGGAGUGGACGCACCACUGGUGUUCGGGUUGUCAUGCCAAUGGCAUUGCCCGGUAGCUAAGUGCGGAAGAGAUAACCGCUGAAAGCAUCUAAGCGGGAAACUUGCCUUGAGAUGAGUCUUCCCUGACUCUUUAAGAGUCCUAAAGGAACGUUUAAGACUAAGACGUUGAUAGGUUGGGUGUGUAAGCGUAGCGAUACGUUGAGCUAACCAAUACUAAUGAACCGUGAGGCUUAACCUGACAACACCGAAGGUGUUUUAG
rnacentral:rRNA from 1 species